GAUGAACGCUGGCGGCGUGCUUAACACAUGCAAGUCGAACGAAGCAAUUUAACGGAAGUUUUCGGAUGGAAGUUAAAUUGACUGAGUGGCGGACGGGUGAGUAACGCGUGGGUAACCUGCCUCAUACAGGGGGAUAACAGUUAGAAAUGACUGCUAAUACCGCAUAAGCGCACAGGAUCGCAUGGUCUGGUGUGAAAAACUCCGGUGGUAUGAGAUGGACCCGCGUCUGAUUAGCUAGUUGGUGGGGUAACGGCCUACCAAGGCGACGAUCAGUAGCCGACCUGAGAGGGGGACCGGCCAAAUUGGGACUGAGACACUGACCAAACUCCUACGGGAGGCAGCAGUGGGGAAUAUUGCACAAUGGGCGAAAGCCUGAUGCAGCGACGCCGCGUGAGCGAAGAAGUAUUUCGGUAUGUAAAGCUCUAUCAGCAGGGAAGAAAAAUGACGGUACCUGACUAAGAAGCACCGGCUAAAUACGUGCCAGCCGCCGCGGUAACAC
rnacentral:rRNA from 1 species